rnacentral:rRNA from 1 species
UACGUAGGGGGCAAGCGUUGUCCGGAUUUAUUGGGCGUAAAGCGCUCGCAGGUGGUUCGUCGCGUCGUGCGUGAAAGACCCCGGCUCAACUGGGGAGUGUCGUGCGAUACGGGCGGACUGGAGGCCAGUAGGGGGAUGCGGAAUUCCGGGUGUAGUGGUGGAAUGCGUAGAGAUCCGGAGGAACACCGGCGGCGAAGGCGGCAUCCUGGACUGGUCCUGACACUCAUGAGCGAAAGCGUGGGGAGCGAUCCGG